rnacentral:rRNA from 1 species
GAUGAACGCUGGCGGCGUGCCUAAUACAUGCAAGUCGAGCGAACAGACGAGGAGCUUGCUUCUCUGACGUUAGCGGCGGACGGGUGAGUAACACGUGGAUAACCUACCUAUAAGACUGGGAUAACUUCGGGAAACCGGAGCUAAUACCGGAUAAUAUAUUGAACCGCAUGGUUCAAUAGUGAAAGACGGUCUUGCUGUCACUUAUAGAUGGAUCCGCGCCGCAUUAGCUAGUUGGUAAGGUAACGGCUUACCAAGGCAACGAUGCAUAGCCGACCUGAGAGGGUGAUCGGCCACACUGGAACUGAGACACGGUCCAGACUCCUACGGGAGGCAGCAGUAGGGAAUCUUCCGCAAUGGGCGAAAGCCUGACGGAGCAACGCCGCGUGAGUGAUGAAGGUCUUCGGAUCGUAAAACUCUGUUAUUAGGGAAGAACAAAUGUGUAAGUAACUAUGCACAUCUUGACGGUACCUAAUCAGAAAGCCACGGCUAACUACGUG